rnacentral:rRNA from 1 species
UAUGGCUCAGGAUGAACGCUAGCUACAGGCUUAACACAUGCAAGUCGAGGGGUAGCAGGGUAGCAAUACCGCUGACGACCGGCGCACGGGUGAGUAACACGUAUCCAACCUUCCCAUAACUCAGGGAUAGCCUUUCGAAAGAAAGAUUAAUACCUGAUAGUACUUUUUCAAGGCAUCUUGAGAAAGUUAAAGAUUUAUUGGUUAUGGAUGAGGAUGCGUUCCAUUAGAUAGUUGGUGAGGUAACGGCUCACCAAGUCUUCGAUGGAUAGGGGUUCUGAGAGGAAGGUCCCCCACAUUGGUACUGAGACACGGACCAAACUCCUACGGGAGGCAGCAGUGAGGAAUAUUGGUCAAUGGGCGAGAGCCUGAACCAGCCAAGUAGCGUGAAGGAUGAAGGUCCUAUGGAUUGUAAACUUCUUUUAUAGUAGAAUAAAGUGAUCCACGUGUGGAUUUUUGUAUGUAUACUAUGAAUAAGGAUCGGCUAACUCCGUGCCAGCAGCUGC